rnacentral:misc_RNA from 1 species
CCAAACUUGGUCAUUUAGAGGAAGUAAAAGUCGUAACAAGGUUUCCGUAGGUGAACCUGCGGAAGGAUCAUUACCGAGUGCCAGCCCCCGCGGGCUGAACCUCCCACCCUUGUCUCUGAUACACCCUGUUGCUUUGGCGGGCCCACCGGGGUCCUCCCCGGUCGCCGAGGGGCAUCCCGCCCCUGGGCCCGUGCCCGCCGGAGCGCCCGUGAACCCGAAUGAAGAUGGACUGUCUGAGUGUGGGAUGAGAAUUGUCAAAACUUUCAACAAUGGAUCUCUUGGUUCCGGCAUCGAUGAAGAACGCAGC